rnacentral:misc_RNA from 1 species
ACAAAUCGUUGUUGCAAAUAGCAAUAUUUGCACAUUCACCCUACCUGGCGGUCUAACCGCUGGGUUUGGUUUUGCAGCGCAUCAUGUGUUGCACAUAGACGCUUGAUUGUUUGACAGUUCAAUUGAUUCAAAAAACAAAAGA